rnacentral:rRNA from 1 species
AACGAACGCUGGCGGCAUGCCUAACACAUGUAAGUCGAACGAGAUCUUCGGGUCUAGGGGCGCACGGGUGCGUAACGCGACGGAAGCUGAACUUUUGUUCGGACUGACCGUUGGAAAAGACUGCCAAUACGGGAUGAUGACGAAAGUCGAAAGGUUUAUCGCCAGUGGAUGAGCCCGCGUAGGAGUAGCGAGUUGGUGUGGUAAAGGCGAGCUAAGGCGAGGACCCUUAGCCGGUCCGAGAGGAUGUUCAGCCACACUGGGACUGGGACACGGCCCAGACUCCUACGGGAGGCAGCAGUGGAGAAUAUUGGACAAUGGGCGAAAGGCUGAUCCAGCAAUGCCGCGUGAGUGAUGAAGGCCUUAGGGUUGUAAAGCUCUUUUACCCGGGAUGAUAAUGACAGUACCGGGAGAAUAAGCUCCGGCUAACUCCGUGCCAGCAGCCGCGGUAA